UCAUCAUAUUCUUAACCCUAACUAUUCUGUAUUUUUUUUUCUUCAUUUGAUUGGAAUUAUACGCAGAGAUUCAUGGAGUCAUGGCUUAUAUUUCGAAUUCAGAUCCUCUUUCUCUUUGCGUUUCUAAAAUUCUAUCACAAUAAUUUAUAUAUCUUGCCAAAAUUAUUUUCUUUCUCUCAGAUCUGGUUAUUUGCUUUGAAGAUGGAUUUGCGACAGCUAUUGCUCUUGUUCUCCUCACAAGAUUCUACAAUGUGAGGCAUCAACAUUAGCCCAUCCAAGUAACAAUGGCGAUCAACAAAGGAAAUCUCCAGGAGUUGGUUUCUUUUCAUUGAUUUUGUUUGGUGCUCCACUUACACCUGUAAUUGGAUCCAUUGGGUUGACUCCUCUUCUAGCAGCAGUUUAUGUGGGUGUCUUGCAAAAUAUUUUCAGCUAGAGUGUGAAGUACAGUUUGUUUGACCUUUGCAAAGAAAUGGCUUACUUUUUUUUUGUUCUGUUUUUUACCUUCCUAAUGAAUUUGACCUUCCUGUUAGUAAUUGCUUUGUCUGUAUUGUUUUAAAAUAUUUGAUUCAUAGACAGUAGAUAUUUCAAGGAUUUUUCAUGUAUACAAAGUAUUAUUAUGUUUCAUUGUGCUUCUAUUUUAUGUCUAUUCUGAAAAAUUUAGCUUAUUGUUCUGCAUUUGAAGCACGAUUAUGAUGACUUUUGAGUUGUUUGAUAGCCUCUUUUCAAUAAUUUUUUUUAUUUUGUUUAAUUGUUUUUGGUUCCGUAUGCAUUACGAUUUUUUAGGUAAAAGUCAACAUUCUUUGAUCUUUUUCUCUUUUGUUAAUUGUAUCUCUAGCUCAGGUGGCCUCACACACUAUUAGCCAUGUUCUUGACAUGGAUAUGUGGCCAAACAUUCAUCGUCGAAAGAAAUACCUUUAAGAAGCUAAAGGUGUAGUCAUUGGCUGUACUACGCUACAGGAUACAUCGCUUGUUGGACAAUUUUCUCAGAUUGUAGGUGCAGUUCGUCAAGGGAAUGCAUCUCCGGGUCUUUUAAACAAAGCAUCUGAAUUCUUAGGAAAGGCAAAACAUCAGAUUGGAAAAGGCAAUGUAGGUACAACAAGAGAAUAGGCCGGGACACUUGAGCAUCAAAACAAGUGACUAUAUUGUCUAUAAGGCCAUCAUCUAUGUAUUUUGAUUUUUAGUCUAAUAUUAGUGAUGUAUUUAUUUAGGGACAAGCUACUAUAAUGUGCGACGUUUUUUUUUUUAAUUUGUUUUUAAUUGUGUUGAUGUUUUCUUUUUAUAAAUUUGGUAAUUAACUACGUACUCUUAUUAUUGUU